CCUACGGGUAGCAGUAGUGGGGAAUAUUGGACAAUGGGCGAAAGCCUGAUCCAGCCAUGCCGCGUGUGUGAAGAAGGCCUUCGGGUUGUAAAGCACUUUCAGUGGGGAAGAAAGCCUUGGGGCUAAUACCCUCGAGGAAGGACAUCACCCACAGAAGAAGCACCGGCUAACUCCGUGCCAGCAGCCGCGGUAAUACGGAGGGUGCGAGCGUUAAUCGGAAUUACUGGGCGUAAAGCGCGCGUAGGCGGUCUGAUAAGCCGGUUGUGAAAGCCCCGGGCUCAACCUGGGAACGGCAUCCGGAACUGUCAGGCUAGAGUGCAGGAGAGGAAGGUAGAAUUCCCGGUGUAGCGGUGAAAUGCGUAGAGAUCGGGAGGAAUACCAGUGGCGAAGGCGGCCUUCUGGACUGACACUGACGCUGAGGUGCGAAAGCGUGGGUAGCAAACAGGAUUAGAUACCCUAGUAGUC
rnacentral:rRNA from 1 species